rnacentral:lncRNA from 1 species
AAGGAAGAAGAAGUAGCUGAAGGAAGGAAGAAGAAGAAGGAGAGAGAAGAGAGAAAGAGGAGAGAGAAAGAAAGUUAUGAAAAGAAAGAAAGAAAGAAAGAAAGAAAGAAAGAAAGAAAGAAAAAGAAAGAAAGGAAAGGAAGGAAGGAAGGAAGGAAGGAAGGAAGGAAGGAAGAAGAAGAAGAAGGAAGGAAGUGAAGAAGGAAGGAAGGGAGGGAGUGCUUGUUGAGCGAGGAGGGAGGGAGGGAGGUGGAGGGAGGAAGGAAAUACAGUUAAAGAAGAGAGAGAGAGUUAAAACAUCGAUUCCGAGAACUCAUCAGAAUGGUCCUUGUUCUAUUUGUUUAAAAAUGCUGAAAUCAGUAAAUGGCCAAAUAACAAAAGGCUGGGUUAUCAAACAGUUGUGGAUAUAGGAGGGAGGGAAAAUACUGGAAAGUCAGAAAGAUAAAGAUAGAAAAGUAUAUUUGUUCUCCCAACAUUAUGUCAUUCUGGUUUAUUGCUGUAUCUUUCAUGUUUGGAACUUCUAGGUUUGUUUGUGGGUUUCUAUGCAGAAAAAAAGUUUCUGUUUAUGAAAAUGUUAUAAUUUUCUACUUAUAAAAAAGCACAAAGUUCUACUAGGCAGGUCCAAAACAGUUCGCCAAUAGACACGCUUUAUAGUGCUCUGCAAUAGAAUUUUGCAAUAGAACCUUCUGCAGUAAUGGAAUCAUUCUUUAUUAUCCAAUAUGGUAGUCAAUAACUACAUGUGGCUAUUGAGCCCCUGAAAUGUAGCUGGUAGGACAGAGGAAAUAAAAUCUUGAUUUUAUUUUAAUUAAAUGUAAAUGUAAACUGACACACAUGGCUAAUGGUUACAAAAUUGGAAAGAGCAGCUUUUGGUGAUUAAAAUGAGCUAAGUUUUACUUUCUUCCCUGAGAGAAAGAAUAUGGAACAGCUGUAUGAUCUACGCAAUAGUUGAUGCAAAACUACAUCGAAUCUCCAUGCUAUUUGCCAUAUCUUUGUCAACUGAUAUCAGUAAAAGCGCCAUGACUUGGUUUCUCAAACAUACAAGUGAGAUCACUCUCCUCAUGGGCAACCUUCAACAUGCUGGAAGACCAACAGAGUGCAGUGGAAGAAGUCCUAGAAGAAACUCUGUGAAGAAUUCCUGUGACAAGUAUGCUGAAGAUUUUGACCCAUGGACUGAGAACAAAAUGCAACUUCAGUUUUGUCUCCCUCUGGUUGUAACUGUCUUGACCUGUAAUGAUUAAAUGUUUUUUACUUUGACUGGUGCCAUCCCAAAUGGACUGUCCUUGCUGGCCUUGAGGGAUGGUAACAUUCAACUGGUUUUUUUCGUCCCCACUUUUGAUCUCUGCAGAGGUUCUCUGAUAAUCCCAUAACUUAAGAAAAAAAAGGAGAAUGAACCUCUAUUCUAAGUAAUGGCUGAGUGCUGCAUCUUUAGCUGUUGGCAUUCCACAUUGCAACUUCUUCUUUCUGCUGAUGCCCCUUGAGGUAGCCCUGUGACACAGGAUCCAAA